rnacentral:rRNA from 1 species
CUACGGGAUGCUGCAGUGGGGAAUAUUGCACAAUGGGCGCAAGCCUGAUGCAGCCAUGCCGCGUGUAUGAAGAAGGCCUUCGGGUUGUAAAGUACUUUCAGCGGGGAGGAAGGGAGUAAAGUUAAUACCUUUGCUCAUUGACGUUACCCGCAGAAGAGGCGCCGGCUAACUCCGUGCGCAGCAGCCGCGGUAAUACGGAGGGUGCAAGCGGUAAUCGGAAUUACUGGGCGUAAAGCGCACGCAGGCGGUUUGUUAAGUCAGAUGUGAAAUCCCCGGGCUCAACCUGGGAACUGCAUCUGAUACUGGCAAGCUUGAGUCUCGUAGAGGGGGGUAGAAUUCCAGGUGUAGCGGUGAUAUGCGUAGAGAUCUGGAGGAAUACCGGUGGCGAAGGCGGCCCCCUGGACGAAGACUGACGCUCAGGAGCGAAAGCGUGGGGAGCAAACAGGAUUAGAUACCCCAGUAGUC